rnacentral:lncRNA from 1 species
UGGCGUCAAAACGAAAUAGAGAUGCCGAUGCACUGAAGGGCAACGACUUGUGAAAACGGCCGAUAGAGUCACAGAGGUUCAGCCGAUGAAAGGUGAUAAAGACCCAGCAGAUGAGGAUGAGAAGUGUCAGCCGAUGAAAAGUGAUAAAAAAUGGGGACCCAGCCGAUGAGGAUGGGAGGUGUCAGCCGAUAAAAGGUGAUUGGGACCCAGCCGAUGCGAGCAAGAGGAUUCCAGCCGAUCGGAGAUAUUAGAGUCCGACCGUUAAAAGGCAAGAGAGUCUUGAUCGGCGAAGAUAUUGCGAGACAAUGGAUGUGGAGUUGAUUGAGGGAGGCCAAAUUUGUUUAUGACUCUUGCUUGAGUCGUUUUAUUUAGAAAAGUUUGUUUCUUUAGGUACAGAUAUUGUAUUACGUUGUAAUAGACUAUAACUAGGUGCGAGAUCUGAAAAGUAUGUACACACAAACAAACAAAUCUACUUUAUUCGUAAAUUACUUUCAAGCCGACGACUUCGCCAAAGUUCUCUUUUUCAUCAUGAGUUCUUCCAAGCUAGCAGGGAUACAUCAUCUUGAUCUCCGACUGGAUUGUAAGUUCUGCGUUUAUCGAGUAAUUUCUAGGCUUUAACUUCCGGCGCAUCGCUGUUGUUUCGUCUAAAUUUAUUCAUCAAGUUAUCGAUAUUUGCUAGAUCUACAAGUUUAUUUGUUUAAAUCUUGCUUCUUUAGGUUUUAUCACCGCUAUCCAGCUUGGAAUAGGUUCCGAUCGGCUUCUUAUCCUGUUUUUUCAAUCAAGAGCUGUUCUAUAACCGAUUAGAUCUGUUUCAAGUGUUGUCUGUGUAGCAUUGUUUAGGUUGCGUUUCAACAGUUCCUUUGCAUUGGUUACGCAUACAUCGACUGACCUAGCCGAUCAUCUUUUUCUAUAUCGAUUACCU